rnacentral:rRNA from 1 species
GCUUAACACAUGCAAGUCGAGGGGCAGCAUGGUCUUAGCUUGCUAAGGCCGAUGGCGACCGGCGCACGGGUGAGUAACGCGUAUCCAACCUGCCUUACACUCUUGGACAGCCUUCUGAAAGGGAGAUUAAUACAAGAUGUUAUCAUGAGUAAGCAUUUUCACAUGAUUAAAGGUUUACCGGUGUAAGAUGGGGAUGCGUUCCAUUAGAUAGUAGGCGGGGUAACGGCCCACCUAGUCUUCGACGGAUAGGGGUUCUGAGAGGAAGGUCCCCCACAUUGGAACUGAGACACGGUCCAAACUCCUACGGGAGGCAGCAGUGAGGAAUAUUGGUCAAUGGACGAGAGUCUGAACCAGCCAAGUAGCGUGAAGGAUGAAGGUUCUAUGGAUUGUAAACUUCUUUUAUACGGGAAUAAACGGAUCCACGUGUGGAUUUUUGCAUGUACCGUAUGAAUAAGGAUCGGCUAACUCCGUGCCAGCAGCCGCGGUAAUACGGAGGAUCCGAGCGUUAUCCGGAUUUAUUGGGUUUAAAGGGAGCGUAGAUGGGUUGUUAAGUCAGUUGUGAAAGUUUGCGGCUCAACCGUAAAAUUGCAAUUGAUACUGGCAGUCUUGAGUACAGUUGAGGUAGGCGGAAUUCGUGGUGUAGCGGUGAAAUGCUUAGAUAUCACGAAGAACUCCGAUUGCGAAGGCAGCUUACUAACCUGUAACUGACAUUGAUGCUCGAAAGUGUGGGUAUCAAACAGGAUUAGAUACCCUGGUAGUCCACACGGUAAACGAUGAAUACUCGCUGUAGGCGAUAUACAGUCUGCGGCCAAGCGAAAGCAUUAAGUAUUCCACCUGGGGAGUACGCCGGCAACGGUGAAACUCAAAGGAAUUGACGGGGGCCCGCACAAGCGGAGGAACAUGUGGUUUAAUUCGAUGAUACGCGAGGAACCUUACCCGGGCUUAAAUUGCAACCGAAUAUGGCGGAAACGCUAUAGCUAGCAAUAGCGGUUGUGAAGGUGCUGCAUGGUUGUCGUCAGCUCGUGCCGUGAGGUGUCGGCUUAAGUGCCAUAACGAGCGCAACCCUUGCCGAUAGUUACUAACAGGUCAUGCUGAGGACUCUGUCGGGACUGCCAUCGUAAGAUGUGAGGAAGGUGGGGAUGACGUCAAAUCAGCACGGCCCUUACGUCCGGGGCUACACACGUGUUACAAUGGGGGGUACAGAGGGCUGCUACCACGCAAGUGGAUGCCAAUCCCAAAAACCUCUCUCAGUUCGGAUUGAAGUCCGCAACCCGACUUCAUGAAGCUGGAUUCGCUAGUAAUCGCGCAUCAGCCACGGCGCGGUGAAUACGUUCCCGGGCCUUGUACACACCGCCCGUCAAGCCAUGGGAGCCGGGGGUACCUGAAGUGCGUAACCGCAAGGAGCGCCCUAGGGUAAAACUGGUGACUGGGGCUAAGUCGUA